rnacentral:rRNA from 1 species
GGGAAACCGGAGCUAAUACCGGAUAAUAUAUUGAACCGCAUGGUUCAAUAGUGAAAGACGGUUUUGCUGUCACUUAUAGAUGGAUCCGCGCCGCAUUAGCCAGUUGGUAAGGUAACGGCUUACCAAGGCGACGAUGCGUAGCCGACCUGAGAGGAUGAUCGGCCACACUGGAACUGAGACACGGUCCAG